CCUACGGGAGGCAGCAGUGGGGAAUUUUGGACAAUGGGCGAAAGCCUGAUCCAGCAAUGCCGCGUGAGUGAAGAAGGCCUUCGGGUUGUAAAGCUCUUUUGUCAGGGAAGAAACGGUGUGGGCUAAUAUCCUGCACUAAUGACGGUACCUGAAGAAUAAGCACCGGCUAACUACGUGCCAGCAGCCGCGGUAAUACGUAGGGUGCAAGCGUUAAUCGGAAUUACUGGGCGUAAAGCGUGCGCAGGCGGUUUUGUAAGUCUGUCGUGAAAUCCCCGGGCUCAACCUGGGAAUUGCGAUGGAGACUGCAAGGCUAGAAUCUGGCAGAGGGGGGUAGAAUUCCACGUGUAGCAGUGAAAUGCGUAGAGAUGUGGAGGAACACCGAUGGCGAAGGCAGCCCCCUGGGUCAAGAUUGACGCUCAUGCACGAAAGCGUGGGGAGCAAACAGGAUUAGAUACCCUGGUAGUCCACGCCCUAAACGAUGUCUACUAGUUGUCGGGUUUUAAUUAACUUGGUAACGCAGCUAACGCGUGAAGUAGACCGCCUGGGGAGUACGGUCGCAAAGAUUAAAACNCAAAAGGAAUUGACGG
rnacentral:rRNA from 1 species